UCUCAGUGCUUGUGAUAAUAUUUAUACUCAAGGAACAAGAGCCCAGAGAGUGACUCAGCCCGAGAAGCUCCUCUCUGUCUUUAAAGGGGCCCCAGUGGAGCUGAAGUGCAACUAUUCCUAUUCUGGGAGUCCUGAACUCUUCUGUACUCUUGAGACACAUCUCUAGAGAGAGCAUCAAAGGCUUCACUGCUGACCUUAACAAAGGCGAGACAUCUUUCCACCUGAAGAAACCAUUUGCUCAAGAGGAAGACUCAGCCAUGUAUUACUGUGCUCUAAGUGGCACAGCGGAUCUGAAAAGCUGGUCUUUGGAAAGGGAACGAAACUGACAGUAAACCCAUUAUCCAGAACCCUGACCCUGCCGUGUACCAGCUG
rnacentral:lncRNA from 1 species